UACGAAGGGGCUAGCGUUGCUCGGAAUUACUGGGCGUAAAGCGCACGUAGGCGGAUUGUUAAGUCGGGGUGAAAUCCUGGAGCUCAACUCCAGAACUGCCUUCGAUACUGGCGAUCUCGAGUUCGGGAGAGGUGAGUGGAACUGCGAGUGUAGAGGUGAAAUUCGUAGAUAUUCGCAAGAACACCAGUGGCGAAGGCGGCUCACUGGCCCGAUACUGACGCUGAGGCACGAAAGCGUGGGGAGCAAACAGG
rnacentral:rRNA from 1 species